GGCCAGUUAGCUCAGCUGGUUAGAGCGUGGCGCUAAUAACGCCAAGGUCGUGGGUUCGAUCCCUGUACAGGCCA
rnacentral:tRNA from 1 species